UACGGGGGGAGCAAGCGUUGUUCGGAUUUACUGGGCGUAAAGGGCGCGUAGGCGGCCAGCACAAGUCAGUUGUGAAAUCUCCGGGCUUAACUCGGAAAGGUCAACUGAUACUGUGUGGCUAGAGUGCAGAAGGGGCAACUGGAAUUCUCGGUGUAGCGGUGAAAUUCGUAGAUAUCGAGAGGAACACCGGUGGCGAAGGCGCUCUGCUAGGCCGUAACUGACACUGAGGGACGAAAGCUAGGGGAGCGAAUGGG
rnacentral:rRNA from 1 species